UACGUAGGGUGCAAGCGUUAAUCGGAAUUACUGGGCGUAAAGCGUGCGCAGGCGGUUGUGCAAGACAGAUGUGAAAUCCCCGGGCUUAACCUGGGAAUUGCAUUUGGGGACUGCAAGGCUGGAGUACGGCAGAGGGGAGGUGGAAUUCCGACGUGUAGCAGUGAAAAUGCGUAGAGAUGUGGAGGAACACCGAUGGCGAAGGCAGCCCCCUGGGUUAACACUGACGCUCAGGCACGAAAGCGUGGGGAGCAAACAGG
rnacentral:rRNA from 1 species